rnacentral:rRNA from 1 species
ACUCCUACGGGAGGCAGCAGUGGGGAAUAUUGCACAAUGGGGGAAACCCCUGAUGCAGCCAUGCCGCGUGUGUGAAGAAGGCCUUCGGGUUGUAAAGCACUUUCAGUAGGGGAGGAAGGUAGUGUAGUUAANACCUGCAUUAUUUGACGUUACCUACAGAAGAAGCACCGGCUAACUCCGUGCCAGCAGCCGCGGGNAAUACGGAGGGUGCGAGCGUUAAUCGGAAUUACUGGGCGU